rnacentral:rRNA from 1 species
GUCUAUGGCCAUACCACCUGAACGUGCCCGAUCUCGUCUGAUCUUGUGAAGCUAAGCAGGGUUGGGCCUGGUUUGUACUUGGAUGGGAGACUACCUGAGAAUACUGGGUGCUGCAGGCU